AAAUUAUAUUAUGUAAUAGUGCGGAUUCCAAAAAAUAAAAAAUAAAAAUUGUUGUGGACUAACUACGAACCGUCUUUAAAUUAAAUUUGCAGCGGAUUGUUGUUCGAUCUAAAAUUAGUAUGGACUGAACCGCUAACGGAUUAAUCUGCACUAACCACAACAUCCAUUCAAAGACUUAAUUAUUUACUAUCAUGUUAUAUUUGUGGGGCAUUAAUAAGUGAA
rnacentral:sRNA from 1 species